rnacentral:rRNA from 1 species
GACGAACGCUGGCGGCGUGCUUAACACAUGCAAGUCGAACGGAAAGGCCCUGCUUUUGUGGGGUGCUCGAGUGGCGAACGGGUGAGUAACACGUGAGUAACCUGCCCUUGACGUUGGGAUAACUUCAGGAAACUGGGGCUAAUACCGGAUAGGAGCUCCUGCUGCAUGGUGGGGGUUGGAAAGUUUCGGCGGUUGGGGAUGUACUCGCGGCUUAUCAGCUUGUUGGUGGGGUAGUGGCUUACCAAGGCUUUGACGGGUAGCCGGCCUGGGAGGGUGACCGGCCACAUUGGGACUGCGAUACGGCCCAGACUCCUACGGGAGGCAGCAGUCGGGAAUACUGCACAAUGGGCGGACGCCUGAGGCAGAAACGCCGCGUGCGGGAUGACGGCCUUCGGGUUGUAAACCGCUUUAGCCUGUGACGAAGCGUGAGUGACGGUAAUGGGUAAAGAAGCACCGGCUAACUACGUG